CUCCGGCUUAAAUCACUGCUGAGUUUUUGCAAAGCACUCUGCUCGGAGGGUCCCAGAUCUGUAUAUAAUGUUUAAAUAUUAAUUGGGAAACAGCCGGCAGCGCAGGUGUUCUUCCUCCUCUCCCUUCCCAUGCCUCCCUCGUGGGGCUGCUCUCCUCCGACUCACCGAGUAUUUCCGACAGCAUUCGGCUGCACGCAGUCAGCUGGGAGGGCUGCAGGACGUGCGUCUGAGCACAAAGGAAAUGUGCAAAGGUAGGGACAGGGAAGAGCUUGCUCUGAGCUCCGGUGUGGCUCCUGAGCCCUCUGCACUGUGCCUGCGAAUGCUCUCAGUGACCCAGGUGUGCAAAAAUGGGAACAUCCUGGCUGCACCUAACAGAGCUGCUUGUCUGGAUAAAGUAAUCACAGUUCCACUGAUCAGAACCAGCAUGAUUAUAAUUGUAUAGCAUUGGAGAACAAUUGAAUGGCUUGGAUUGGAAAGGACCUUGAAGAUCAUAAAACUGUGGAGAGGUUGGAUUGGAAGGAUUCUUAAAGAUCACAGAACCGUGGAAUGGUUGGGUUGGAAGGACCUUAAAGAUCAUAGAACUGUAGGAUGGUUGGGUUGGAAGGGACCUCAAAGAUGCUCACCUUAAAUAUCGGGGUGAUGCUCUGUGGGUGCGUGGUAGAGGAGUCAUGCAUCGAUCUGACACUGAUGAAAAGGGCCAUCACCUAUGUGGAGUAUCAGUAUAUCCACCCAUAAAUUGUUAACUGAAUAUCAAUAUAUCAACGCACAAACUGUCAGCAACACUUGCAUGGGCAAUUACUGCAGGGCAGAGCCCACGUACCACUGCAGAGUGGAUUCCCACUCUGCCUGAACCCGGCCCCAGUGCUUGGGCUCAGCAUCCCAUUUCACCCCGUCCAGGGUCACCGUUGGCCCCAACCUCCUGCAGGAAGAAGCAGCAUCCCUGGGGGAGCAGCCCUGUGGCUCCAGCACACGGAGCUGCUUCAACACUGGGAAAGCCGCAUGCGCUCCCCUCCGGGCUGAUAUCUGAGCGUGCUUGGAGCAAGGCUGCACUGGGAGGGAUGGAUUCCAGAUGUUCGCGUGUCACGUGGGAGCGGUUGGUUUUACAAGCAAGAGAGUUCCCUGAGUAUCUGAUUUUGGCAGCGAUCUCCACUUUUGUCUAAAGAGAAACUGCACAGGAAGUUAGAAAGCACGAGACAAGCGGUAUUCUUGGGUCCUGUGCUUUUCCCAUGUUUGACAAGCUCUGGCCCUGCAUGUGGCCAUCCAGGAGCAAGUUAGAAUCAUAGAAUCAUAGAAUCAUUAAGGCUGGAGAAGACUUCUAAGAUCCCCAAAUCCCAGUCCCAGCCCACCCCCGCAUGCCCACUGCCCACGUCCCUCAGUGCCACAUCUCCACAGCUCUGGGACACCCCUAGGGAUGAUGACCCCCACUCCCUGGCAGCUGUGCCACUGCCUGACUGCUCUUUGGAGAAGGAAUUGUUCCUCAUAUCCAACCUGAACCCAGCUUGAGUUAGAGCCAGCUGGUGCCCAGCCCACACCAUUGCUUCCCUGGAGCCCAUCAGCUGCUGCAAGCAGUCAGCGGUGUGGACAAAACAAAGCAGCAGGAGCUUGCUUCAUAGAAAUGGGGCUUGUAGCCCUGAAGGGGCCCUCGUGAGAAAUGCACGUUAACCAAGCAAUUCUUCUCUCUGCAUUUAUGUAACGUUAGCUGUAAUAUGAGACAUUAAAAAAAAAUCAAUUAUUUGACAAAGAAAUAAACCUAGGAGAAUAAUGUUUGCUCAAUAUAUCACUUCCUUGAAUGAAAUUCACUUUGCCAGGGCCAAGGCAUUAAAAAUACAUUAAAAUAUUUCAAUAUAAAUAGAAUGAG
ensembl:lncRNA